rnacentral:SRP_RNA from 1 species
CACUCUUGAUCAUUUUGUCAAUUGAAUAAAGCUUCCUAGGUGUUUAAACAUGACGUCGAAUAGACAGUCAUAAACACCCCAUCGGUGUUAUUACGUAGCCACCAAGUCUGAGUCUAUCAAGCUUAG